GAUGAAGAACGCAGCGAAAUGCGAUAAGUAAUGCGAAUUGCAGAAUUCCAGUGAGUCAUCGAAUCUUUGAACGCACAUUGCGCCCUUUGGUAUUCCGAAGGGCAUGCCUGUUCGAGCGUCAUUAUCACCCCUCAAGCCCUCGGCUUGGUGUUGGACGGUUUGGUGGAGGCCCCCUCGGGGGCUCCUGUCCCUCCCAAAGACAAUGACGGCGGCCUCGUUGGACCCCCGGUACACUGAGUUCUUCACGGGACACGUAUCGGACACAUGGGUUUACGGGACACGGUCUGCCUCCCCUCAGGGAGAAUCUUUCUAAGGUUGACCUCGGAUCAGGUAGGGAUACCCGCUGAACUUAAGCAUAUCAAUAAGCGGAGGA
rnacentral:misc_RNA from 1 species